rnacentral:rRNA from 1 species
GUGCCAGCAGCCGCGGUAAUACGUAGGGGGCAAGCGUUGUCCGGAUUUAUUGGGCGUAAAGAGCGUGUAGGCGGCUAUACAGGUCCGUUGUGAAAACUCGAGGCUCAACCUCGAGACGCCGAUGGAAACCGUAUGGCUAGAGUCCGGAAGAGGAGAGCGGAAUUCCUGGUGUAGCGGUGAAAUGCGCAGAUAUCAGGAAGAACACCCGUGGCGAAGGCGGCUCUCUGGGACGGUACUGACGCUGAGACGCGAAAGCGUGGGGAGCGAACAGGAUUAGAAACCCGUGUAGUCC